CCAGACUCCUACGGGAGGCAGCAGUGGGGAAUUUUGCGCAAUGGGGGAAACCCUGACGCAGCAACGCCGCGUGCGGGACGAAGGCCUUCGGGUUGUAAACCGCUUUCAGCAGGGACGAAUUCCGACGGUACCUGCAGAAGAAGCCCCGGCUAACUACGUGCCAGCAGCCGCGGUAAUACGUAGGGGGCGAGCGUUAUCCGGAUUCAUUGGGCGUAAAGCGCGCGUAGGCGGCGCGUCAAGCGGGACCUCUAACCCCGGGGCUCAACCCCGGGCCGGGUCCCGGACUGGCGCGCUCGAGUGCGGUAGAGGCGAGUGGAAUUCCCGGUGUAGCGGUGGAAUGCGCAGAUAUCGGGAAGAACACCGAUGGCGAAGGCAGCUCGCUGGGCCGACACUGACGCUGAGGCGCGAAAGCUGGGGGAGCGAACAGGAUUAGAUACCCCAGUA
rnacentral:rRNA from 1 species